rnacentral:rRNA from 1 species
UGGGGAAUAUUGGACAAUGGGCGAAAGCCUGAUCCAGCCAUGCCGCGUGUGUGAAGAAGGUCUUCGGAUUGUAAAGCACUUUAAGUUGGGAGGAAGGGCAGUAAGCGAAUACCUUGCUGUUUUGACGUUACCGACAGAAUAAGCACCGGCUAACUCUGUGCCAGCAGCCGCGGUAAUACAGAGGGUGCAAGCGUUAUUCGGAAUUACUGGGCGUAAAUCGCGCGUAGGUGGUUCGUUAAGUUGAAUGUGAAAGCCCCGGGCUCAAACUGGGAACUGCAUCCAAAACUGGCGAGCUAGAGUAGGGCAGAGGGUGGUGGAAUUUCCUGUGUAGCGGUGAAAUGCGUAGAUAUAGGAAGGAACACCAGUGGCGAAGGCGACCACCUGGGCUCAUACUGACACUGAGGUGCGAAAGCGUGGGGAGCAAACAGG